rnacentral:rRNA from 1 species
UACGAAGGGGGCUAGCGUUGCUCGGAAUCACUGGGCGUAAAGGGUGCGUAGGCGGGUCUUAAGUCAGGGGUGAAAUCCUGGAGCUCAACUCCAGAACUGCCUUUGAUACUGAAGAUCUUGAGUUCGGGAGAGGUGAGUGGAACUGCGAGUGUAGAGGUGAAAUUCGUAGAUAUUCGCAAGAACACCAGUGGCGAAGGCGGCUCACUGGCCCGGUACUGACGCUGAGGUGCGAAAGCGUGGGGAGCA